GAUGAACGCUGGCGGCGUGCUUAACACAUGCAAGUCGAGCGAGAAUUUUUAAUCGGAAGCUUCGGCCGAAGAUUGAAAAGGAAAGCGGCGGACGGGUGAGUAACGCGUGGGUAACCUGCCUUAUACUGGGGGAUAACAUAUUGAAAAGUAUGCUAAUACCGCAUAAGCGCACAGCAUCACAUGAUGCAGUGUGAAAAACUCCGGUGGUAUAAGAUGGACCCGCGUCUGAUUAGCUAGUAGGUGAGGUAACGGCUCACCUAGGCGACGAUCAGUAGCCGGCCUGAGAGGGCGAUCGGCCACAUUGGGACUGAGACACGGCCCAAACUCCUACGGGUGGCUG
rnacentral:rRNA from 1 species